rnacentral:rRNA from 1 species
UGGCUCAGGAUGAACGCUGGCGGCAGGCUUAACACAUGCAAGUCGAGGGGCAGCGCGGUGGUAGCAAUACUACUGGCGGCGACCGGCGCACUGGUGAGUAACACGUAUGCGACCUGCCCCGGACAGGGGGAUAAACCCGGGAAACUGGGCCUAAUACCCCAUAGGCCCAUUGAUCGCAUGGUCAGUGGGUGAAAGAUCCGUCGGUCCGGGAUGGGCAUGCGGCGCAUUAGCUUGUUGGCGGGGCAACGGCCCACCAAGGCGACGAUGCGUAGGGGUUCUGAGAGGAAGGUCCCCCACACUGGUACUGAGACACGGACCAGACUCCUACGGGAGGCAGCAGUGGGGAAUA